AUUGAACGCUGGCGGCAGGCCUAACACAUGCAAGUCGAGCGAGCGGCGGACGGGGGAGUAAUGUCUAGGAAACUGCCUGAUGGCGGGGGAUAACUACUGGAAACGGUAGCUAAUACCGCAUACCAUCAGAUGUGCCCAGAGGGUAUUGGCUAGUCGGUGGGGUAACGGUUCACCUAGGGGACGAUCCGUGGCUGGUCUGCGGGGCUGACCAGGCAAACGGGGACGUGGAAACGGGCCCGAAUCCUACGGGAGGGAGGCGGGGGGAAUAGUGCGAAAUUGGCGCAAGCCUGAUGCAGCCAUGCCGCGUGUGUGAAGAAGGCCUUCGGGUUGUAAAGCACUUUCAGCGGGGAGGCGUUACCCGCAGAAGAAGCACAGGCUAACUCCGUGCCAGCCGCCGCGGUAAUAC
rnacentral:rRNA from 1 species